UCCCUGGCAGUCCAGUGGUUAGGACUCCAUGCUUUCACUGCCGAGGGCCUGGGUUCAAUUCCUGGUCAGAGAA
rnacentral:tRNA from 1 species